rnacentral:rRNA from 1 species
UACGCAGGGGGCUAGCGUUGUCCGGAAUCAUUGGGCGUAAAGCGCGUGUAGGCGGCCCGGUAAGUCCGCUGUGAAAGUCGGGGGCUCAACCCUCGGAUGCCGGUGGAUACUGUCGGGCUUGAGUACGGAAGAGGCGAGUGGAAUUCCUGGUGUAGCGGUGAAAUGCGCAGAUAUCAGGAGGAACACCUAUUGCGAAGGCAGCUCGCUGGGACGUGACUGACGCUGAGACGCGAAAGCGUGGGGAGCAAACAGG